UUAGACGGUAGGGUAUUGGCCUACCGUGGCUAUGACGGGUAACGGGGAAUUAGGGUUCGAUUCCGGAGAGGGAGCCUGAGAAACGGCUACCACAUCUAAGGAAGGCAGCAGGCGCGCAAAUUACCCAAUCCUAAUACAGGGAGGUAGUGACAAGAAAUAACAAUACAGAACCUCACGGUUUUGUAAUUGGAAUGAGUUAAGUAUAAACCCCUUAACGAGUAUCAAUUGGAGGGCAAGUCUGGUGCCAGCAGCCGCGGUAAUUCCAGCUCCAAUAGCGUAUAUUAAAGUUGUUGCAGUUAAAAAGCUCGUAGUUGAUUUUCUGUUAAUUUUUAUGUAUAAUAUUGCGAUAUUUACAUAAUAUUAACAUAAUUCACAUUACUUUACAGUAUGUGGAAYUUUACUUUGAGAAAAUUAGAGUGCUUAAAGCAGGCUAUUGCCUUGAAUACUCCAGCAUGGAAUAAUAUUAAGGAUUUUUAUUCUUCUUAUUGGUUCUAG
rnacentral:rRNA from 1 species